AUACAGUAGGCAACGGGAAAUGUAUAGAGUACCUACGUUGUAAGGGGACUAGUGGACAACUACACAGCUCUGCUCUACAUGUGUCACUAUAGGGCCUAGGUGACAACUAUACAGUAGGCAACGGGAAAUGUAUAGAGUACCUACGUUGUAAGGGGACUAGUGGACAACUACACAGCUCUGCUCUACAUGUGUCACUAUAGGGCCUAGGUGACAACUAUACAGUAGGCAACGGGAAAUGUAUAGAGUACCUACGUUGUAAGGGGACUAGUGGACAACUACACAGCUCUGCUCUACAUGUGUCACUAUAGGGCCUAGGUGACAACUAUACAGUAGGCAACGGGAAAUGUAUAGAGUACCUACGUUGUAAGGGGACUAGUGGACAACUACACAGCUCUGCUCUACAUGUGUCACUAUAGGGCCUAGGUGACAACUAUACAGUAGGCAACGGGAAAUGUAUAGAGUACCUACGUUGUAAGGGGACUAGUGGACAACUACACAGCUCUGCUCUACAUGUGUCACUAUAGGGCCUAGGUGACAACUAUACAGUAGGCAACGGGAAAUGUAUAGAGUACCUACGUUGUAAGGGGACUAGUGGACAACUACACAGCUCUGCUCUACAUGUGUCACUAUAGGGCCUAGGUGACAGCUAUACAGUAGGCAACGGGAAAUGUAUAGAGUACCUACGUUGUAAGGGGACUCCGUAAAUAGGACUAGUGGACAACUACACAGCUCUGCUCUACAUGUGUC